rnacentral:tRNA from 1 species
GGGCCCGUGGCCAAGCCGGAUAGGUUUUACCUCCCUGGAGAAGGCGCCGGCCUCCUAAGCCGGAGAUCCCGGGUUCGAAUCCCGGCGGGCCCGCCA